AAGGGAUAAAAUGGAGGCUGACAACAGACAGAACCUGUCCAUCCCACCACAAGCAGAGACAACUUGCAUACCCUCCAGAGCACUGAAGACUAUUACUGCCUGGUUUUCUCCUGGAUGGCCAGCACAAUAUGCCUACGGUGAAACUGAUGGUUACUGUGUGAUUCUGCAGCACAGCCCAACAAUGGGAGAACAAUGCAGCAAAAAUCAAAGCAGGAAUGGGCCACAGGAGGGAAGAAGCUGAAGG
rnacentral:lncRNA from 11 species